ensembl:lncRNA
GCUAUGGAAGGAUUUUGCAGCUGUAAUUAAGGUCCAAAAUCAGGUGACUUUAAGACAGGAAGAAAUUCCUUGAUGGCUCAGGUGGUAAAGAAUCUGCAAUGCAGGAGACCUAGGUUCAAUCCCUGGGUCAGGAAAAUUCCCUGGAGAAGGAAAUGGCAACCCACUCCAGUAUUCUUGCCUGGAGAAUCUCAUUGACAGAGAAGCCUGGAGAGCUACAGUCCACAGGGUUGCAAAGAGUCCAAAAGACUGAGCAACUCACUUUCACUUUUCACUUUCAAUCUUAAGAUAGGAAGAUUAACACUUAAAAUAGGAAGAUUAGUAUCUGGGUGGGGCUGACCUGAUCACAUGAGUCCUUUAAGGCUGAGUCUAGAGGUCAAAGACAUUAGGCCAAAGAUUUUAAGCACAAAGAGGGUUUGACAUGAGAUAGCUUUUCAAAAGUGACUCACUUGAACCAACAGAAAGGGGUAGAUGUGAUACAGUGCCAAUUCAAUGCCAAGCCUUGAAGAAGCUUAGCAUCUUCUUUUGCUUUUGGAAAUUAACCAUCGUGGAAGACAUCUGACUGGUAUCCAUGGAGGAAUCCUGUGAUAUUUCAUGCCUACUAUCUUCAGAGAGAGAGAGAGGAGCCAGUUGGAGAAGCACAAAAACACUAGACAUCCAAUUGCCAUGGAAUGAGACAUCGCUACAUAGGAGCCCACAUGACAAAGAACUAAAGCUCUGGCCAACAACCAAUGAGGAUGUGAAUCCAAGAAUCACAGAAGUGCCUUCGGAAGCAGCUUCUCCAGCCUCAGGACUGCCUGGCAAUGACUGUAGCCCUAGCCAACAGCUUAUUGAUCUCUCAGAACUGUGCAGCUUACCCAGACUCCUGACCCUCGGAAACUGUGUGAAAUAAUA